AAAGUGUAAUUAUUAAAUGUAGUGACUGAACGUGUGUUUGUAUCUUCAAUUCGGUAUACUUCGGCCAACAUUCAUAUCGUUUGUCGUUUCAAAGACGCGUGACGUUCACGGCACACGCGCUCUUUGUUUACCACAGUCCAAACGCGAGCAUGUAUGUGGUUGCCACGAAUAUAAAACUCGUGGGCCUUUGUUCCCUAAAAGGUGGAAGUGCAGCCCAACGUAUUUUUUGGAACCGUUGGCAGAACACCGGAACUUGCUUUGUAUUUUGUACUUAAUCAACAACUGAUUUGUCCGCCAGCACUUGAACGCAAACGAGUUCAAGACUGGGGUUCACUGCGGUUGUGCCGCCUUCAGGACCUUUUAUUUGGUAUCGUACUUUUGUGUGUUGAGGUAAUAACAUCCUUUUCUAAAGCAGACGGUGCGCUUUAAACUAUUUAAACGUCUUUAAACGAACGAAAUACGAACAAAAGACUGCCUGGCAAACACUCAGUCAAUAGGAACAACAAGAAAAGUGCUAAAAAUCCACUGUUAUCAUUCUAGGAAACGAGGUUAUACGCACACAAACCACUCGAUAAUGCUACUUGCUGAGUGGCAAAAUAAAAUAAAUAUGUGAACAAAUGUAUACUUUAUUUCACCAAUACGCGAAUCCUAUUAUGAAAAUGGUUAAUUUAGCGAAACUUCCAUGUAAUUUAUGCAAACAAGCGUUUACAAUAAUACUUUUUAUUGCGUCAGCCAAAACAUCGAAUAGUGGAUUUGUCAGCUAGCUUGUUUUAGCAUUAAGUCAUCUGAUUUAAAAGUGGGGGUCGAGGAGCCUGUUUGUGUAAAGACGAUUUAGCUCGUUAGCAGUCGGGCGUGGAAGAGGAAGGGAGGGUAGUUGUUAUUCGACACGGAUAGGGAAGGACUAACCGACGUCUGCAUGAAAACACAACAACGUUAUCAUCAUGCACUAACACACCUUAACGCACCGGGAAAAAGGUGCUUUUAAAACAGCAGUAAGGCUUAAAAACACCGAGCACUGACAUGCUAAUUAAUCUGGAACAAAAUGUACACCGACGGGAACAAAGCAGCCUCCAAAUGUCUUUAAAACGCUGAUAAAUAUUUGAUAACAACACAGAAUUUACGCUUAAAUCAAUUUCAAAAUGCGUCGAAAGUGCUACAAAUGAUUAAAGUCUGAAUAAUAUGUGCUGAGAAAACAAAGAACUCACCUGCAGUUCAGUCGACGACUUUAUAAGGUAUUAAAAAUAAUUCCUUUUCGAACGCGAGGUAGAUGCGUGACUUUUUCGAAAAAAUGGAAAAACUCGCCGUUUUCUUCGCAGAAGAAAUAAAAGUACAAAAAAGGCGUAAGAUUAGGAAUUGGACAUCGACUGUUGUUUCUCCUCUCCCCAACUGCUUCUUUUGUUAUUGUUGUAUGUGGAUGGAAGGCCUACUAACAGCUGAUCGCUGUGACGUUGGAAGGCGGGGCCAAAGCAAGCGUCUCGACCAAUUGCAAGCCGCAGGGAAGUCUGUCACUAUCCCACGUGACCUAUGUUUGCUGGGGGACAUGACUGGACAACGCUCGCACGAGCAAUGUUACAUAAGCCUAACCAUUUCCGGUUCUGGUUGUGUUUUGUAAUGUAAUAAAGAUUUAUGUCUAUUUUUGUUUUAGGAUGUUUAUUAAAAGGACCUUAUGUUUUACCUUAUGUCAUGUUUAAUAAAAUAUAAAGUAAGCUAUCAAAGCAGUAUAUUUAGUAAAGCUAGCAACAUGCUAACAACAAAGGAGAGGUGAAAACUACUUUUUUCACAUUUGGUUGACCUCCAACUUGGAUAUAUUUUCUUCUUUAAGCCAAAUGUGCUGCAGGCUUUUGUUGCUACACCAGAGUGAGUGGUGUGAGGCUUUUUGAAUUUCCAAAAGAUCCUUGUUCGCCGCGAUGAUUAAGGACAAGUCCGACAACCGAGGAGCCAUUGGACGGACAAGGAACGUUUCCUCUUCUCUCUCUGGUGACGAGCACUGCCUGCCCACCGGGCAGCAGAACGACGAGCCGUAACUUGCUCGCCGCCUUGGGCUGGCCGAUCAGUGAAGACAAUCAAGCCCGCCGCCGCGUGUGACAUGAGUUGGGGAAGUUUUGUGGCCUCCGUCCCUCCUUCCUGAGCCCUGCCUCAGGUGAGGGGAGUUUUGCCUGAUUACAGGUCGAACGUCAGACGGGUGGAGCAGCCAGCUUAAAAGCCCAGCGGACGCACCACCACGUCGCCCGAACAACUUGUCUGUUUUCCACGACCUGAUCUGCGCGCCCCUCGUCGGAUUCCUCGCCUGCCUCCCUUCCGAGCCUCCUCGUCAGCUCAACUACCCCGAGCCAAGCAAACUUCCAACCACCACGCUCUUUCUCGUGAUCGCUAAUAAAAUACUACUCUCCAGAACCGUUUGUCUGCACUGGGAUCCCUUCCUGCUCCCGCACACCCUAACACAUUUAGAUUAUUCCACAAAAAACAUACAAUCUGAGUUGUGCAUUAUGUAAAAAAAACAAGAAUAAAGAAUAUGAGUUAUUGCACUCAUGUAAAGCAGCUGAACACGAUGAUGAACAAUUAAUCACGUUAAAAUAUUUGACGCAAUUAACGCACAUGCCCUGCUAAAACACAUUAAAUGACAGCCUAGUGUCAUGUCCACUUGUUACUUGUGUUUCUUGUCUCCAUCUGCUGGUGCUUUAGUGCUGAUUUUAUGAGUUUAAGCACCAUGAGCAUUGUGUAAAUAUUGACAUCAACUAUGGUGAGCUACUAGUUUAUUUUUUGAUUGAAAAUUUUACAAAUUUUGAUAAAACGAAAACAUUAAGAGGGGUUUUAAUAUAAAAUUUCUAUAACUUGUACUAACAAUUAUCUUUUAAGAACUACAAGUCUUUCUAUCCGUGGAUCGCUUUAAGAGAAUGUUAAUAAUGUUAAUGCCAUCUUGUUGAUUUAUUGUUAUAAUAAACACAGUACUUAUGUACCGUAUG